AGUGGUGCAUCCACUUAUUACGUCAGUCAAAUUUUUGUCAGGAAACAUCAACUACUUUGUAAACAAAAAAUCAACUCCCAAUAUGAACAGAUAAAUCGGAGUUUUUAAACUAGUUGUUUUAUAUGAAUUUAAAACCAUUGGACGGCUAUGCGUUUCCAGUUUAUGUCACCGAUUUAUGCCCCAGAAAUAGGACAGAGUGGAGAGAGAGAUCAUCAUCAAUAAACUGUACGAAAACCAAUGGAUACACCUGUAUUCCAAAUGAAAACUUUACAAAACUUUUACAGUUUUGUUACACUGAUCUUCGAAUACGAAUUCAGAAAGGCAUGUGCUUAUUUCUCUACAGACAUAAUUCUCUAGUGGAUGCAAUGAGCUGUCGUACUUUCAUGAAAGGGUGUCCAGAUGUGUCUUACUUCAGUGAUGAAAUAUUUAAAUAUCAGAGCUGUUUGUCAAUUAGAAAUGGGUGCUUCCUCGCCGAUCCUGUCUGUAACAG